CUACGGGUGGCACUAGUGGGGAAUUUUGCGCAAUGGGGGAAACCCUGACGCAGCAAUACCGCGUGAGUGAAGAAGGCCUUUGGGUCGUAAAGCUCUUUUCUUGGGGAAGAUAGUGACGGUACCCAAGGAAUAAGCACCGGCUAACUCCGUGCCAGCAGCCGCGGUAAUACGGAGGGUGCAAGCGUUGUUCGGAUUUACUGGGCGUAAAGGGCACGUAGGCGGCACAGCAAGUUAAGGGUGAAAUCCCGGGGCUCAACUCCGGAACUGCCCUUAAAACUGCUGAGCUAGAGAUAGUCAGAGGCGGGUGGAAUUCCAGGUGUAGAGGUGAAAUUCGUAGAUAUCUGGAGGAACACCGGUGGCGAAGGCGGCCCGCUGGGGCUAUUCUGACGCUAAGGUGCGAAAGCGUGGGGAGCAAACGGGAUUAGAUACCCCCGUAGUC
rnacentral:rRNA from 1 species